rnacentral:rRNA from 2 species
GCUGGCGGCAGGCCUAACACAUGCAAGUCGAACGGUAACAGGAAGCAGCUUGCUGCUUUGCUGACGAGUGGCGGACGGGUGAGUAAUGUCUGGGAAACUGCCUGAUGGAGGGGGAUAACUACUGGAAACGGUGGCUAAUACCGCAUAACGUCGCAAGACCAAAGAGGGGGACCUUCGGGCCUCUUGCCAUCAGAUGUGCCCAGAUGGGAUUAGCUUGUUGGUGAGGUAACGGCUCACCAAGGCGACGAUCCCUAGCUGGUCUGAGAGGAUGACCAGCCACACUGGAACUGAGACACGGUCCAGACUCCUACGGGAGGCAGCAGUGGGGAAUAUUGCACAAUGGGCGCAAGCCUGAUGCAGCCAUGCCGCGUGUAUGAAGAAGGCCUUCGGGUUGUAAAGUACUUUCAGCGGGGAGGAAGGUGUUGUGGUUAAUAACCGCAGCAAUUGACGUUACCCGCAGAAGAAGCACCGGCUAACUCCGUGCCAGCAGCCGCGGUAAUACGGAGGGUGCAAGCGUUAAUCGGAAUUACUGGGCGUAAAGCGCACGCAGGCGGUCUGUCAAGUCGGAUGUGAAAUCCCCGGGCUCAACCUGGGAACUGCAUUCGAAACUGGCAGGCUUGAGUCUUGUAGAGGGGGGUAGAAUUCCAGGUGUAGCGGUGAAAUGCGUAGAGAUCUGGAGGAAUACCGGUGGCGAAGGCGGCCCCCUGGACAAAGACUGACGCUCAGGUGCGAAAGCGUGGGGAGCAAACAGGAUUAGAUACCCUGGUAGUCCACGCCGUAAACGAUGUCUACUUGGAGGUUGUGCCCUUGAGGCGUGGCUUCCGGAGCUAACGCGUUAAGUAGACCGCCUGGGGAGUACGGCCGCAAGGUUAAAACUCAAAUGAAUUGACGGGGGCCCGCACAAGCGGUGGAGCAUGUGGUUUAAUUCGAUGCAACGCGAAGAACCUUACCUGGUCUUGACAUCCACAGAAGAAUCCAGAGAUGGAUUUGUGCCUUCGGGAACUGUGAGACAGGUGCUGCAUGGCUGUCGUCAGCUCGUGUUGUGAAAUGUUGGGUUAAGUCCCGCAACGAGCGCAACCCUUAUCCUUUGUUGCCAGCGGUUAGGCCGGGAACUCAAAGGAGACUGCCAGUGAUAAACUGGAGGAAGGUGGGGAUGACGUCAAGUCAUCAUGGCCCUUACGACCAGGGCUACACACGUGCUACAAUGGCGCAUACAAAGAGAAGCGACCUCGCGAGAGCAAGCGGACCUCAUAAAGUGCGUCGUAGUCCGGAUUGGAGUCUGCAACUCGACUCCAUGAAGUCGGAAUCGCUAGUAAUCGUGGAUCAGAAUGCCACGGUGAAUACGUUCCCGGGCCUUGUACACACCGCCCGUCACACCAUGGGAGUGGGUUGCAAAAGAAGUAGGUAGCUUAACCUUCGGGAGGGCGCUUACCACUUUGUGAUUCAUGACUGGGGUGAAGUCGUAACAAGGUAACCGUAGGGGAACCUGCGGUUGGAUCACCUCCUUACCUUAAAGAA